AUCCUAAUAACUUAUAAAAAGUAUUUUAUUGAAAAUAAAAACAAAUCCCACCUUUAAUAC
rnacentral:tRNA from 2 species